GGCCCGCACAAGCGGUGGAGCAUGUGGUUUAAUUCGAUGCAACGCGAAGAACCUUACCUGGUCUUGACAUCCACAGAAGAAUCCAGAGAUGGAUUUGUGCCUUCGGGAACUGUGAGACAGGUGCUGCAUGGCUGUCGUCAGCUCGUGUUGUGAAAUGUUGGGUUAAGUCCCGCAACGAGCGCAACCCUUAUCCUUUGUUGCCAGCGGUUAGGCCGGGAACUCAAAGGAGACUGCCAGUGAUAAACUGGAGGAAGGUGGGGAUGACGUCAAGUCAUCAUGGCCCUUACGACCAGGGCUACACACGUGCUACAAUGGCGCAUACAAAGAGAAGCGACCUCGCGAGAGCAAGCGGACCUCAUAAAGUGCGUCGUAGUCCGGAUUGGAGUCUGCAACUCGACUCCAUGAAGUCGGAAUCGCUAGUAAUCGUGGAUCAGAAUGCCACGGUGAAUACGUUCCCGGGCCUUGUACACACCGCCCGUCACACCAUGGGAGUGGGUUGCAAAAGAAGUAGGUAGCUUAACCUUCGGGAGGGCGCUUACCACUUUGUGAUUCAUGACUGGGGUGAAGUCGUAACAAGGUAACCGUAGGGGAACCUGCGGUUGGAUCACCUCCUUACCUUAAAGAA
rnacentral:rRNA from 1 species